rnacentral:lncRNA from 1 species
UCAAGGUCUGGUAGUUACUUCAACCCCACAAGGCAGAUUCGUUUAUUGGCCGGGGAUGAGGCCAUCUUUCCUUACCCAUGACUACGAGUCGCACCUUGUCGCUCACAUAGACAACCUGUCGUAUCAAUUAGGCAUCCCGCUCAGUUCAAACUAUGAGGAAAGCACUACAAAAAUUGCAACAUCAAGCUCUGGAAGCUACUACCCAGACAGAGAAAUUUUUGUCAUCGCUCAAAACAAUAAUGUGGGUACUAGCCAACAGAGAACCCCUCGACGGAUAGCAUAGCCCGAUAACAUUUCAGAGGAUGAGUCAUCGGCUAAUGCCCUGCAAGACAAAACUUCCGAGCAAAGAAACCAAAGGAGGGCACGAAAUAUUACUUGGGCCGAACGUUGACAGCUACUAGCCACAAACAUCCCUAUCAUGAACCUUGAAAGAGCAUUCGACGCAGUACAAGCCCAAGAACACAACAUUCCACUCGCGUUAAACGCCUCAAUCAAUCUCAUAUCAACUCUAAUACCCCAAGACAGAGAUAAUGAAUUAACAGCUCAACUCGCGCAUCGAGGCAAUGGACUAAUCGCACAACUCGCAGAACAAGUUACAAACUACUCGAUAAAGAAUCACCAAUCCCAUCUGUUCC